rnacentral:tRNA from 1 species
GGGGUUGUAGCUCAGUGGUAGAGCGCUCACCUAGCAUGUGUGAGGUACUGGGUUCGAUCCUCAGCACCACA